rnacentral:rRNA from 1 species
ACGGAGGGUGCAAGCGUUAAUCGGAAUUACUGGGCGUAAAGCGCACGCAGGCGGUUGGAUAAGUUAGAUGUGAAAGCCCCGGGCUCAACCUGGGAAUUGCAUUUAAAACUGUCCAGCUAGAGUCUUGUAGAGGGGGGUAGAAUUCCAGGUGUAGCGGCGAAAGGCGGAGAGAUGUGGAGGAAUACCGGUGGCGAAGGCGGCCACCUGGACAAAGACUGACGCUCAGGUGCGAAAGCGUUGGGAGAUAACAG